GGGAGGGAUCACCAAGGAAAGCUACCUUAUUGAGGUCAGAACAUGUAGGGAUAAAGCGAGACAGGCAAAAAGUCGAGUAGGGCUGAACCUUGCAAAGGGAAUUAAAACCAAUAGUAAAAGGUUCUAUAGCCAUAUAAAUAAGAA